rnacentral:rRNA from 1 species
CUGGCGGCGUGCCUAAUACAUGCAAGUCGAGCGAAUGACAAGGAGCUUGCUCCUUUGAUUAGCGGCGGACGGGUGAGUAACACGUGGGUAACCUACCCUAUAGACUGGGAUAACUUCGGGAAACCGGAGCUAAUACCGGAUAAUACUUUUGAACACAUGUUCGAAAGUUGAAAGAUGGUUUCGGCUAUCACUAUAGGAUGGACCCGCGGCGCAUUAGCUAGUUGGUGGGGUAAUGGCUCACCAAGGCAACGAUGCGUAGCCGACCUGAGAGGGUGAUCGGCCACACUGGGACUGAGACACGGCCCAGACUCCUACGGGAGGCAGCAGUAGGGAAUCUUCCACAAUGGACGAAAGUCUGAUGGAGCAACGCCGCCGUGAGUGAAGAAGGAUUUCGGUUCGUAAAACUCUGUUGCAAGGGAAGAACAAGUAGCGUAGUAACUGGCGCUACCUUGACGGUACCUUGUUAGAAAGCCACGGCUAACUACGUGCCAGCCGCGGC